UUUAAAUCUAUAUUAUUUUUUAUCAAUUGGCACCAUGCGAAAAAUGAUUGUUUUGCAUUGCCUUAACGUUAUUACUAUUUAAAUAAAGCUUAGAAAUAGUAAUAGCCGAAUCUAUGUAUGUGAAAUAUAAAGUACAUUACAGCUACUUUCAACUCAAAGCUAUGGAACCGUCGAGAAGAAAGGCUCAACAAUCUUAAGUCAUAGCGACUUUCAUCUUAAGGCUACACGAGUUUUGAAUUUAUGCCUUAUAAAGUAACAAGUAAUAAUAAAGUUACAAUCUUACUUAUAAAGUAUCAAGUAUCAAUUUCCUUAGCCCUGACUGCGGUAAUCCGAAACAAUUUCCUAACGAGAAAUGUACUUUUAUCUGGCCUCAUUUUCAUUACGCUAGUAGACCCCAUAAAACCAAAUUUUUAUGAUUCUUUGAACAUAUUAUCGAGAAAGUCACGCGGCUAUUUACCUGCAUCCAAAACCAUAGCUCAUCCUCCUUUUCUGACUUCACCAUUGCGGUCUGCAGUCUGUGAAGGCUCCUUAAUUCGAGAACCAAUCAGGUGGAUUCCAAGAGUAUACACCCCCUGUAGAUGUCAAACUCGCUGUGUAUAGAAAUUGAUCCCCUUAUGUUGCUCUUAUAAUAUAAUAUAUAUAAUAUAAUUUCGUUCGAUCUUGAUCGGGGUAUCACGACAACCGUUCCAAUUUGUUGUGAGUACUCAAACCAUUUACUGUGAAAUAUUUUAAUAACGAACUAAAAACAUAUAACUUCAAAUAAAACAUACAUAAAUUUAAAAUAAUUAUAAACAGUUAAAAAUGGAAUCAUUAGUGGCUUGUGAUUUGUGCAGCCAAUGGCAUCGAAAUUAUUGGUUUGAUUCUCAUGGAAGAGGAUAAGGAAAUAUCUAACCCCCCACCCCCCAGAAAAAAAAAUCGGCAUUAAUGAAUUGUAAUCCUCGCAAUUAUACAUUAAAUGAACUAAAAGCUCUGUGCGUGCAAAAAAAAACUUAAAAGUAGCGGCACAAAAAUCGAAUUGAUUAAAAGACUUGAAUAUAUUAAAUUUGAGUAUGGCCGCGUAUUGAAAAAAUAAAACAGCAAUGAAAAAAAUCAACGCCACAGAACAAACCAGUAAAUUGGACAAGGAUGCAAACAACUACAACGGAUAAGAAGAAAGUAGCGAAAACGAGACAGCAAGAGGCAGCGACAACGACGGCGACCCGUUGACGGCGACGUUUGCACAUACAUACAAAGGAAUGCAAGAAACAGAAGGUUCGCGAAAAGUAACGGGAUCUUGUAAAAUGAAUGUCAACAACAAAAAUGAGAUCGAGCAAUGUUCUGAGAGGCAGAUGGUGAGCGCCAGCAACAAUGAGUCCAACAAAUGUUUCGCGAUCCCGAUGGCUAGCAACAAUGAUCCUGAGAUGCAAAUGGCUGGCAACAAUAAGCAGGAACAAUGUUUUGAAAACCAAAUGAUGCGCAACAAAGUAACUACGCAAGGCGGCGAUGUUCAAAGACUGGAAAAUGAGUUGAAAAUAUUGAAGCUGCAAAAUGAGAUCGACCAAUCAAAAAAUCAAUCGACACAGACUCUUUCGAAAUUUUAAAGGAGAUCGUUAAUGGCGGAAACAAUUUCAAUGUUUGGCUAUCUCAACUUUUGAAGGUCCAGAAAAAUUUUAAGGUCGGUGACAAAAUGAUGCGUGCGCUGAUUCACUACAAAGUUAAGGGCGAUUAUGAAAUAUGGCUGUAUUAAAGCACAAGCGCUACCAUGGAGACAGCGGAUAAAAUGUUAAGCCACCUGGAGAAAAGGUUCGUAAUGUCCAAAGAGUCAAAGUGUGGCAGAAGCUACAGAACUGCGUCUAGAUCAAAGGUGAGGAGUUCUCCAAGUACUACAAUGAGAAGUGGCAGCUGGCAGAUAAUUUAGAACUGGCAGAAGAUGAAUUUUUGGAAUAUGUCAUUGACGACACGAUGUCAAUCUACGCAAUCUGGCUAAGUCGCGUUCGUUCCAGACCGGAUUGUAGCUUUUGGAUGCAUUCCGAAAUGUUGAGUUGGGCUACGUUCGUAAGCCCAAGUUACCAGAAGACCGUAGAGCAGGAGAUUAUUAGAAGCCACGAGCUAAUGCAGAGUGCUACAAUUGCCACAGUCGGGACCACCUGGCCAGAGAGUGCCGCAAGCCUAAGAGACAAUAUGGGGCUUGUUACGCAUGUGGCUUGCAAGGACAUGUGGCUAAAAAGUCCGACCAAUACAAGAAAUCGAAGGACGGAGACAACGAUUAUAAUGUCUCAUAGAUUCUGGCAGCCCGAUAAGUAUUAUUAAAAAACGUUUUAUACCAAGUCAAAUAAAAAUGGAAAUACCUCUUUAAGUUACGUUGGAUUAAAUUUAAGUAAAUUAUAAAUACAUGGAAGCGUAAAAUGUUCAGUUAAGUUCUCAAAUAAAGAUACUCCUAUGUUACUAUAUGUCGUGGAUGAUAAAUCUAUGGGAUAUGCUAUGUUAUUGGGAAGGGAUUUUUUAACAAGAGUAAAGGUAAAAAUUGUAAUUGAAAAUGAACAUGAAAAAAUAUCUGAAAUUAAAAAAGAUUCGAUAGUUGAAGAAAAUCAAAAUAAAAAUAAAGAAUUUAAAAGUCAUUAUGAGACAAACGCAGACGAACAAAAUAAUUUUAAAAAACAACUAUUAUUAAUAGAUUACUAUGAUAAUGAAAAGGUAUAUGAGAUAGGUUCACAAUUAAAUUUUAAACGAAGAUGCGAAUUUAUAAAUGUUAUUGCAGAAUAUUACAUUAAACCAAAAAGACCGAGUGAACCGAAUAUAAAAUGUGAAAUGAAGCCAAGGUUAGAAGAAGACGAGCCCUUUAGUUUUUCGCCAAGGCGCCAGGCAUAUGUAGAGAAUGAAAAAUUACAAGAAAUCCUUGAUGAUUAUUUAAAAGAUGGUAUUAUACGACAAAGUGAGUCUGAGUAUUGCUCGCCAAUUGUAUUGGUAAAAAAGAAAUUGGGUGGCAUUCGGAUGCGCAUAGAUAGGAAACUAAAUAGGAUCACGGUGAAAGUUAGAUACCCGAUGCCAUUAUUUUCAUUCAUUAGAUACCCUAGAAAACAAAGUUGUGUUCUCGAAGUUAGACCUGAAAAAUUGAUACUUCCAUGUUUAUAUGGACGAAGAAUCUAUAAAGUAUACAUCAUUUACCACGCCACUAGGAAAGUAUGAGUUCACAAGAAUGACUUUUGGGCCGACAAAUGCUCCGUCUGUUUUUUAAAGGUUCGUCAACAAAGUAUUUGACGACAUGAUUAGGGAAGAGAAAGUGAUAGUUAGUGAUUAUAGUGAUUAUCUCGAUGACAUAAUGGUAGCGAUUAUCAUAGUAUAUGAGCGAUUAGUUAAAAACAAAUUAGAGCUGCGAAUCGAUAAAUGAAUGUUUUUCCAAUGUGAGUUGAUAUAUUUAGGAUAUAUAAUAUCAGAAAAGUGUAUUAAAGCAGAUGACGACGGUGUGAAAGCAACUGAAACUUUUCCCGUGCCACAAAAAGUUCAUGAUGUUCAAAGUUUUUUGGGGAUGUGCUGUUAAAAACGCCCACAGAAUUGCAUUGCGAUGCUAGUUCGAUGGGUUUCGGAUCAAUCCUUUUGCAAAGGAAAGCAGAUGGUAAGCUACAUCCAAUUUUUUACUUCUCAAAAAGGACAACGGAUACAGAAUCAAGGUAUCAUAGUUUUGAACUGGAAACACAGGCAGUAAUAUAUGCAUUAAAAAGGUUCAGAGUGUACCUACAAGGAACUGAGUUCAAAAUAGUAACAGACUGUAAUUCCAUCACAAUGACGUUGAACAAAAAAGAGUUGAACCCAAGAAUAGCAAGAUGUGCCUUGGAAUUACAGAAUUAUUUAUAUAAACUAGAACAUAGAUCAGGAACUAGAAUGAAACACGUUGAUGCUCUUAGUAGAUGUAAUGCGAUUUUGGUAAUAGAGGAAAAUACGUUCGAGGAAAAUUUAGUUAUAUGCCAAAACAGAGACGAGAAGUUGAGAAAGAUUAAAGAAAUGCUAUGUAAAGAAGAAAGCGAAUUAUAUGAAAUGCGAAAUGGUGUGAUUUACAAAAAAGUAAAAGAUAACUUAUUGUUCCAUGUCCCGGAAGCUAUGGAAGAACACGUAUUGUAUAAAUACCACAAUGAGUUAGGCCAUGUAGGGAAAGACAAAGUUACGGAAAUGGUCGGUAAAAGUUAUUGGUUUCCAAAUGUUAGAAGUAAAGCAGAUGAACAUGUUAAGAACUGCCUAAAAUGUAUAGCAUUUCAGGGAAGAAAUGGUUAGCAAGAAGGAACUAUUAAUAUUGUACCAAAGUGAAAUACACCAUUUGAAGUCAUACAUAUAGAUCACUAUUGUCCGGUAAAUCAAAAGAAUUCUACCAAAAAACAUGUAUUAGUAAUUGUUGAUGGAUGCACAAAGUUUGUGAGAUUGUAUCCAGCGAAAUCCACAAACUCAAAAGAAGCAAUGGAAGCCUUUAGUGAUAAUUUUAGAGAGUAUUGUUUCACGACCUGUUCCAGACAGAGGGACAUGUUUUACAUCAGAUAUGUUCGAAGAAUUUUUGGAAUCAAGAAACAUUAAGCACGUCAAAAUGGCAACAGGCUCACCACAAGCAAAUGGACAAGUUGAGCGAAAAAAUAGAGUCCUAGGACCCAUGAUAAGUAAGCUCGUAGAUGUAGAAAAGAACGUACAGUGGCACAAAGUUUUGGAAGAAGUAGAGUAUGCAAUGAAUAAUACAAAGUUCAGAAGCAUAAAUGAACACCCAAGUAUAAUGCUGUUUGGAGUGAAUCAAAAAGGAAAAAUGCUAGCUUGCUUAAAAGAUAAUGUAUUGGAGUCAAGGAUAGAAAGAAAAGAAAUUAAUUUAGAGAAAAUUAUAAAAAAUGAAGAAGUUUCGCAGGAAAAAGUACAGAACUAUAACAAGAAAUAUGUUGACGCUAAACGAUUAAAAGCAAAUAAAUACAAAUUAGGAGACUACGUUGUGGUCAAGCAUUUUGAUUCAACAGUUGGAGCGUCUAGGAUAUUAAUAUCCAAAUAUAAAGGCCCCUAUGGAAUCGCCAAAGUACUAGAUAAUGAUAGGUAUUGUAUCAAAGAUGUGGAAUGUUUUCAGUUGACACAAAAACCAAACGAUGGAAUAUGGGCGGCUCAUAAUAUUAAACCAUGGCUUCGAGAAAAGAAUUCGGUGUCAAAUAAUAAAAAUACAGAUAAGUAAAAUGAUAAAGAAAAACAAAAGUCUAAAGUAAAUGUAAAAAAGAAAACCAAACAAAAUGUAACAAAUACUGAAAUAAGUAACGAAAAUGAAACAAAUGUAAUGAUUACAAGUAGAGCGGCGAGGACCGGGAGAUCCUAAUUAUCAGGAUGGCCGAGCUGUAGUAGUAGUAGUAGUAGUAGUAGUAAUUGUAUAUAAGUAUAGUAGUAUAAGCCCCAUUGCAUUAUUAGAAUGUGAGAAUUAAUUAUAAGAGUCGCGAAUGUAAAUAGUAUAUACACACGUGCUGAAUAAAUGUAGAGUCAGUCGUCGUUGAGCUGUCACGGAGAGCACACUAAAAUUGAUAAUAAUUUUACUUCGUUUAUUAUUGGAUACUCUUUAUUUUUUAAUAUUUUAAGAUUAAAUAUUUCUAUUCUUGUUAAUUGUAAACUGAUUUGAAAAUCUUAAAUAUAUUCAAGGAAGAUACUUAAAGAAUAUCUAAUAAUAAAAAGCCGAAUUUUAUGUAAUGAUUGUUAAACGAUGCUAUAUGUACAACUUAACGAAAGCGAAGGACAAAAAGGGGCUUCUUAAUUGCAGAACGAAAAGCAGAAUGCUAAGCCAAAGGUGAUGGUAGCUUUUCACUGGGUGUUAGCGUGGCAAAACAAUGUAUUUUCGACGAUUUGGAAGCCAUAGUUAACUUCUCCGACUUUCAGAUACCCGUUACUAAUCUAGUAGAAAUGCAAAUGGUGAAUAAAAUUUGAAAAAUUUAAAAGUUGUUUAGGUAGGUAGGCUUAUAGACGUAAGAGUGGGCGGUUGUAGGGCGUUAGAGUGGGCUUGGCAAAAAGAUUUUUUGCAAAUCUGUAUAAAUUUACAAGACUAAUAAAAAUGUGAAAAAAUAUCAACACGUUUUUCAACAGUGUGGGCGUGGCAGUUUUGUGCGGUUUGUGGGCGUUAGAGUGGGCGUGGCAACAUGGGCCAACAAGCGAGAGCUGCGUCUUUGGUAUAGAAGAUAAGAAGAAAACGAAUUGCGUACAAAUCACCAAACGACCAAUUUUUUUUUUUUACUUUUUAUAAAAUAAUUAAUAGUAAUAUGACUGAACGUUUUUCUAGUAUAUAAUAAUAUAAUGAUUACAUGUGCACAUAAUGUCGCAAUGUAAACAAUGUAGAGCGGAACGCAAAAAAUUGGCUUUGCCUUUCGUAAGACUCCGAAAGCUAAAAAUAUUCGCGUUUAAUAUUCAGUACACUAUUAUUUUAUUGAUCAAUGUAAAAAUUACAAAACUGGUAAAAUGGAAAAUAUUUUUAUUGAAAUUACUACGAUCAAAAAUUGUAUAGUUGAUAUAGAAAGAUUCCAUUUGCGAAAAACUGAGAAUAAAGAACUGAGAUAAAAUAAUGAAUAUUGAAAAAGUCACGUAAGUUUUUAUAGUAUGUCCAAAAUAACAAAUAUUUGUUUCUUGUAUACCAAAAAAAAAAAAAAAAAAAAAAAAUAACAUGACAUAGAUCAAAUUAAUAAAAAAAAAUCAAAUUAAUAAAAAUUAAUUAAAAAAAUAAUGUUAAAAAGGAAAUGAAAAGUAACGCGAAUUUAGUAAAUCCUUUUCAAAGGCAGGAUAAAAUUAAUUCAAUAUUGACAUAAACAAAAAUAACGUUGACAACAGCUUCGAGUAACAGUUAUUUGCUUCUGAACACAAGUCCUGUAAAAACUAUUUUACAAUAUAUCAAACCAAAAAGACAAGAUUUUAUAAAACACGAAAAUCAAUACAAAAACAUUCUCGUUAUUGUCUUAACACUACGACAAUUAAAAAUGUGAAAUCAAGGAAAUAACUUCGUCACAGAGACAAAAACGAAAGACCGGGUCUCGCAGCCGCCUAAAAAUGUUUUUUGUAAAUAUGACAACUUUGGAGACACAUGUGAUGUGCCUCGCAUUUCCUUGUUUCUCUCUUUUUUUUUUUUUUGGGUGUAGUUAUUUAAAAUUGUCCUUCGCGGACAAUCAUUAAAUUUGAGGACUAAACUUAACGGUAGAGAAUUAAUGGAUUACAUAAUUUGUUGCGAAAACUUUACAAUAACUGUCGAUAUUGUAUGUAUCAUCAUGUAUGUAUAUAAUUUAAUUUUAAUGUGCGUGUCUAAUCCCAGAGGGGUCCAAAGGGUGGGAUCGGUGCAGCCUCCUGGUGCGUUGACUGGAGUCCAGCAGGUUUUGUGCCAGGUUGUUUGGGUGGUCUUGAAGCCUCUGCAUGUACUGCCUGCUGCUUUUCUUAAUCUCAUCCUUCACCCAGGGGAAGCUGAGGACCUC